rnacentral:rRNA from 1 species
UACGUAGGGUCCGAGCGUUGUCCGGAAUUACUGGGCGUAAAGAGCUCGUAGGUGGUUUGUCGCGUUGUUCGUGAAAACUCACAGCUUAACUGUGGGCGUGCGGGCGAUACGGGCAGACUAGAGUACUGCAGGGGAGACUGGAAUUCCUGGUGUAGCGGUGGAAUGCGCAGAUAUCAGGAGGAACACCGGUGGCGAAGGCGGGUCUCUGGGCAGUAACUGACGCUGAGGAACGAAAGCGUGGGUAGCGAACAGG